rnacentral:lncRNA from 1 species
AUGAAGAUCGAUCUGGCAGAGGAGAAGUAGAUCCAUUCAAGUCCAAAGCAAGGUGGAAAGUCUCAAUUCAAUGCUGCGGUUGAUGACCGUAGCAAUAGUCAAAGGCACUGGAGGGAAGCCGCUUGGGAGGUGGCUUAUGCUGUUGAAAGCCUAGCUCAUCCUAGCAUGGCAUAUCUGUAUCCCCUGAUAAUGAUCAUUCCUAUUCGAUAUCAUGA